AACGAACGCUGGCGGCAGGCCUAACACAUGCAAGUCGGACGAGAAGGUUCCUUCGGGAACUGGAGAGUGGCGCACGGGUGAGUAACGCGUGGGGACCUACCUCUUAGUGGGGGAUAACGGUUGGAAACGACCGCUAAUACCGCAUACGCCUUCGGGGAAGAUUAUCGCUAAGAGAUGGACCGCGUUGGAGUUAGAUAGUUGGUGAGGUAAGUGGCGUCACCAAGUCAGCGAUCCAUAGCUGGUUUGAGAGGAUGAUCAGCCACACUGGGACUGAGACACGGCCCAGACUCCUACGGGAGGCAGCAGUGGGAAUAUUGGACAAUGGGGGCAACCCUGAUCCAGCCAUGCCGCGUGAGUGAAGAAGGCCUUCGG
rnacentral:rRNA from 1 species